AAAAAGCGGAGGAAAAGAAACCAACAGGGAUUGCUCUAGUAACGGCGAGUGAAGCAGCAAUAGCUCAAAUUUGAAAUCUGGCGUCUUCGACGUCCGAGUUGUAAUUUGUAGAGGAUGCUUCUGAGUGGCCACCGACCUAAGUUCCUUGGAACAGGACGUCAUAGAGGGUGAGAAUCCCGUAUGCGGUCGGAAAGGCGCUCUAUACGUAGCUCCUUCGACGAGUCGAGUUGUUUGGGAAUGCAGCUCUAAAUGGGAGGUAAAUUUCUUCUAAAGCUAAAUAUUGGCCAGAGACCGAUAGCGCACAAGUAGAGUGAUCGAAAGAUGAAAAGCACUUUGGAAAGAGAGUUAAAAAGCACGUGAAAUUGUUAAAAGGGAAGGGAUUGCAACCAGACUUGCUCGCGGUGUUCCGCCGGUCUUCUGACCGGUCUACUCGCCGCGUUGCAGGCCAGCAUCGUCUGGUGCCGCUGGAUAAGACUUGAGGAAUGUAGCUCCCUCGGGAGUGUUAUAGCCUCUUGUGAUGCAGCGAGCGCCGGGCGAGGUCCGCGCUUCGGCUAGGAUGCUGGCGUAAUGGUCGUAAUCCGCCCGUCUUGAAACCACGGACCA
rnacentral:rRNA from 1 species